rnacentral:rRNA from 1 species
GACGAACGCUGGCGGCGCGCCUAACACAUGCAAGUCGAACGAGCGAGAGAGAGCUUGCUUUCUCAAGCGAGUGGCGAACGGGUGAGUAACGCGUGAGGAACCUGCCUCAAAGAGGGGGACAACAGUUGGAAACGACUGCUAAUACCGCAUAAGCCCACAGGUCGGCAUUGACCAGAGGGAAAAGGAGCAAUCCGCUUUGAGAUGGCCUCGCGUCCGAUUAGCUAGUUGGUGAGGUAACGGCCCACCAAGGCAACGAUCGGUAGCCGGACUGAGAGGUUGAACGGCCACAUUGGGACUGAGACACGGCCCAGACUCCUACGGGAGGCAGCAGUGGGGAAUAUUGCACAAUGGGGGAAACCCUGAUGCAGCGACGCCGCGUGGAGGAAGAAGGUCUUCGGAUUGUAAACUCCUGUUGUUGAGGAAGAUAAUGACGGUACUCAACAAGGAAGUGACGGCUAACUACGUG